rnacentral:rRNA from 1 species
GAUGAACGCUGGCGGCGUGCCUAAUACAUGCAAGUCGAGCGAACAGAUGAGGAGCUUGCUCCUCUGACGUUAGCGGCGGAGGGGUGAGUAACACGUGGAUAACCUCCCUAUAAGACUGGGAUAACUUCGGGAAACCGGAGCUAAUACCGGAUAAUAUAUUGAACCGCAUGGUUCAAUAGUGAAAGACGGUGUUGCUGUCACUUAUAGAUGGAUCCGCGCCGCAUUGGCUAGUUGGUAAGGUAACGGCUUACCAAGGGGACGAUGCGUAGCCGACCUGAGAGGGUGAUCGGCCACACUGGAACUGAGACACGGUCCAUACUCCUACGGGAGGCAGCAGUAGGGAAUCUUCCGCAAUGGGCGAAAGCCUGACGGAGCAACGCCGCGUGAGUGAUGAAGGUCUUCGGAUCGUAAAACUCUGUUAUUAGGGAAGAACAAAUGUGUAAGUAACUAUGCACGUCUUGACGGUACCUAAUCAGAAAGCCACGGCUAACUACGUG